rnacentral:rRNA from 1 species
CCUACGGGGGGCAGCAGUGAGGAAUAUUGGUCAAUGGACGAGACUCUGAACCAGCCAAGUAGCGUGAAGGAUGAAUGCCCUAUGGGUUGUAAACUUCUUUUAUAUGGGAAUAAAACGUUCCACGUGUGGGAUUUUGUAUGUACCAUAUGAAUAAGGCUCGGCUAACUCCGUGCCAGCAGCCGCGGUAAUACGGGGGAUGCACGCGUUAUCCGGAUUUAUUGGGUUUAAAGGGUGCGUAGGCUGUGAGGUAAGUCAGCGGUGGAAUGCCCCCGCUCAACGGGGGGAAGUGCCAUUGAUACUGCCUGGCUGGAAUGCAGAUGCCGUGAGAGGAAUGAGUGGUGUAGCGGUGAAAUGCAUAGAUAUCACACAGAACACCGAUUGCGAAGGCAUCUCACGAAGCCGCGAUUGACGCUGAUGCACGAAAGCGUGGGGAUCAAACAGGAUUAGAUACCCGUGUAGUC